AUUGAACGCUGGCGGCAGGCCUAACACAUGCAAGUCGAGCGGAUGAGUGGAGCUUGCUCCAUGAUUCAGCGGCGGACGGGUGAGUAAUGCCUAGGAAUCUGCCUGGUAGUGGGGGACAACGUUUCGAAAGGAACGCUAAUACCGCAUACGUCCUACGGGAGAAAGCAGGGGACCUUCGGGCCUUGCGCUAUCAGAUGAGCCUAGGUCGGAUGAGCUAGGAGGUGAGGUAAUGGCUCACCUAGGAGACGAUCCGUAACUGGUCUGAGUGGAUGAACAAUCAACCUGUAACUGAGAAACGUCACAGACUCCUACGGGAGGCAGCAGUGGGGAAUAUUGCACGAUGGGCGAAAGCCUGAUCCAGCCAUGCCGCGUGUGUGAAGAAGUUCUUCGGAUUGUAAAGCACUUUAAGUUGGGAGGAAGGACAGUAAGUUAAUACCUUGCUGUUUUGACGUUACCAACAGAAUAAGCACCGGCUAACUUCGUGCCAGCAGCCGCCGUAACAC
rnacentral:rRNA from 1 species